rnacentral:lncRNA from 1 species
UGUUUGUUCUGUACAAUGUCGACGUUUUCUCCUAAAAGUUUUCAAAGCGGAUUGUGUUACACUUUUUUCUAGGGCAUCAUUGAAAAAUUUUGUGAAAGGUUUUUUGCUGUCAACUUUGUUAACCACGGGAAAAUGACCAUCGCAGUAAUCAGUGAUCCUGUCGAACAGCUGUAAUUCCUCUUGAAAAUAUUCAAUGCUGCUGUUUGCGUCUCAGAACCUUCUUGGGCAUUUUGAGUCUUUCCCAAGAACGUUUUUGAAUUGUCGCAUAUGCUCUGACAUGCCUGUCUAAACUCCAAAUGCAAUACCAAUCUGCAAUACCAAAAAAUGUUUUUUUACCAGCUGUCGCCCCUUACGAACGAUAACUCGCUCAGAAGUAGAAACUUGUGCGUGCUAUGGAUUAGCGAGGUCUUGCUUUUCAACAUGCGAUUCCUAACAAUACUCAAGAGUUGAUGAGCUGUGACAUAUCCAUCAGAUCAAGCAUUUCCAAUGGAGUAAUUAUUGAAAUUCCCAUCAAGAACUACAAAAAGUUAUCGGUGCUGUUAAACUUCGAGUUUUACACAAGUCAAGAACAUGAAUAAAAUAAAGUAAAAAAGCUAAAAUACCUACAUUUAGAAACUUUACCAUUCAAAAUGAUGUUAUAUAAUAAAACAGAAUGUCAUUUAUGUCAAUCAUGAAGUUGCUGCCGAGAUAAACAUCAUAAGUAUAAAACGCAUUACUGGUCAAAUAUUUUUUCAUAGAAAAUGUUAUCCUGUCAGUUAUAUUAACAUUCAAAUUAUGUUUUUCAGCUGUAGCCAGUAGAUUGUUGCAUCAGACAUUGCUUUACUAAUUUCGGAUUCUAAAUUAUUCAUGUUAUCAUUACUGUUUGUAGAAGUGGUAUCAUCAGCAUAGAGUUGUAGAAGAGAGCAAUGUGGUAGAGCUGUUUUCAUGUCAUAUAUAUGUAUUAAAAAUAGUAGCAGUACCAAAAUGGAACUUUUUGAGACUU